rnacentral:lncRNA from 1 species
GCCCCCCCAUGGCAGGAGAAAAAAGUCCAUUUUUUCUUGUCCCUUAAGGUGAAAAUACACAUUGUUGAGUGUCACGCCUAUACGCUUUGUCAAAAUGACACAAAAAUUGACACACACAUGUAACUCAAUAAGAUCUACAAAAAAGUCAAUGCGCGCGUAUCUGUCAAAUGUACGGUUAAAGGGUUAUUCCGCAUUUUUUGCCGAUUCGCACACAUUGGAAUUUCGCUAACUCCUCCGAAGGCUUUCGUUCCACCGGCACCACAUUUGCUCAGGCCAAUCUACACCCCAUGGCCAUUAAAAGUUAUCAAAAUCAUGACGCUGCACCCCACGGUUUACGUUCUAGGGGGCGCCAAAGAUAACCCUAAAAUCCACAUAUUUAAAAGUCUUAUAACUUUUUAUUUUUGUCCUCACUGGCCUCCAAGUUUUCUAGGAUGAUGCAAUGUCCAGCCAUCAACACAUUUGUGAAGGAAUUUUUACUCCCCAAAAGAGCGCCCCCCCAUGGCAGGAGAAAAAAGUCCAUUUUUUCUUGUCCCUUAAGGUGAAAAUACAUAUUGUUGAGAUUCACGCCUAUACGCUUUGUCAUAUUGACACAAAAUUUGACAAUCACGUGCCUUGCCUGGUAUCAUUUUUUUCAGCACAACCUCACCUGUGCGAAUUUACAGUUAUUUUAUCAUGUUGACAUACUGAAUUUACACAAUGGACCCAAAUUCACACACAAAACAUAAAAUCCGAGUGGAAAAAAGUAACAUUUUUACUGUGAAAACCACAAAUAUGUGUGAUGAACUGUUUUUAAAACUUAAACUUCAAAUAAAAAUUGUAAACUUCAAAACAUAUGCAAAUUUUUAACAAAGAACAUAGUGAUUUACCUCUAUUUACAUCAAAAUGCAGGCAAUGGCCCAGGCGUUCUUUGUAAAAUUAUUUACAAAACACUGUAUAGUCUCACAAAUGUCACUUUUUAUUUAUGCCACUACAAAAAAACAUGAUGUAAAUGAUGCAUGAUGUAAAACAUGAUGUAAAAAACUUGUGUAGAUCCUCCUCUAUGUCAGUCCAUGUGUAAUUUUUCCAUAAUUCUUUGUUUUUUGCAGCAUUUUUGUUAGUGUAACUGCAGAUUGUGCUGACAGUGUCUAUGGCACAAAAAAAAAAAAAAUUAAAAUGCCUCAACAUGAACCCCUGGUGAUCUCUGAGGGUGAAACCUGCUAACUGCUGCAGCUCUGUCAGCUUCAGUCUCCCAUGCAGAGCUCGGAGCGCAUGUGUGGCUCUGCACCCUUAGCAGCGUUGCUAACUCCUCAGUAAGGAAAGCCUGCUUCAUGUCAGAGUCUCUAAACUCCAGAAGAAGUCGAUAAAAGUCACUUUCUUUCUAAAAAAAAGUCGUUAGGGGGUCUGAAAAGUCAUUGAAUCUAACAACAAAGUCGCUAGGUUUGCAACUACGUGUCCCAGACUGCAUCCCUGCUGAGAGUCCCUCCCUCCCUUCUCAUAUUGCAGGAAGAACGUAAGUUCCCGCCCCUUGUCAAUCAGUCACCAUAUAAUUUUGGAUUGGUUGUUGUGGUGAAGUUUUCCACCAAUAGGAGAGAUGUUGUGGUGUGUAUUUUUUUUCCUUUGGCAAGCCUUUUCCGCCUGUAAGACCUGUCGCUAAUGUCUGCAUGCUAUGUUUUCCUGUCUCAUACAGCGCGAUCGAGCGCCGAACGUGAUCAAAAUAAGCAGAAAACAAGUAUCGCGGACAUAAUUUAUCAUAACUCUGGUUUUAUUUGGCCUAUCAACACAAUUUAAAAACUGGUAUAUAGGUUGAGGUCCUCACUUUUGAGAUAAAUUGAAACGGAGAGUCAACGAGGCUCCGUCUUGCAUCUACAUCCGGUUAAAUAUGUCAUGUGACUUGAACGCACACACACACACACACACAGACACACACACACGCACACACACACACUCAGAGUCUGGUUUGUAGCACCUGCAAAAACAUGCUAUUUACAUAUUUGACAAGAAUGCAGAGGCUCCUUUUGCCCCUGAAAAAAAUCAAAUUUCAAACACAACUUGACUGGUCAUUUCUCCAAAAGACAACCAUGAAGCUCCAUCCAAACCUGAAGCAGGCAGUUGGUGCAUGUGUACAGUAACCUGAGGGGAGUGAGGUGACUGCUUCUGAGGAGAACAUGAGCAGUGAAGAUUCACCUUAGAGCUAGAACAGAGACGUGCACAUGAUUAUACAGGGGCAGGGGCUCAAGUUUUUUCCAGUUGUUUAUACAAUAUGGAAAUUAAUGUGAAAUUAAAAAACAAAGUAUUAAUAGAAAGGUAAUGACUGUCCUGAGUAGGUGACAGUGAUAUCCAAUAGGCUAGGCACUCAAGAGGCUGGCUGUGGCAAGUGUAAGUGAAAGCAACACGCACUGGCAGGAAGAACAGCAAACGCCGAUGAAGGAAAAGGGUCUUUGCAGUGAUGGGCGUUACCAGAGAGGGCGAUGGCCAGAGGACACAAAUGGGACGGGGAGGCAGCGCGUUGGGGGGGGGGACGCGACACAGCUCGGGCCCGCCAGUGCCCCAACGGGGUCCUAGUUAGGGCCCGAGCCAGCUGCAGAGCAGCCGGGCGUAGGCCCUAUUAUUCCCCAAGUGGUUUUUCUUUGUUUCUUUCUUUCUUUCUUUCUUUCUUCUUUUUCCUCCCCUUUGAACUGGAAAAUGGCCCACUUCCCACUGGCGAAAACUCAUGAAAUUUGGCAGGACGACCGGGCCUGGUGAAAAAUUCGAUAUUCUGAAGUCGCCCAAACAAUAAAAUGCAAAAUGGCUCCAUAGCGCCCCCUAAGGUGGAAAUUCACACUAUUGACUGUCACGCCUGUACGCUUUGUCAUAUUGACACAAAAAUUGACACACAUAUGUAUCUCAAUAAGAUCUACAAAAAAGUCAGUGCGGCCGUAUCUGUCAAAAUUACGGUUAAAGGGUUAUUUCGCAUUUUUUGCCGAUCCGCACACAUUGGAAUUUCGCUAACUCCUCCGAAGGCUUUCGUUCCACCGGCACCACAUUUGCUCAGGCCAAUCUACACCCCGUGGCCAUUAAAAGUUAUCAAAAUCAUGACGCUGCACCCCAAGGUUUAGGUUCUAGGGGGCGCCAAAGAUAACACUAAAAUCCACAUAUUUAAAAGUCUUAUAACUUUUUAUUUUUGUCCUCACUGGCCUCCAAGUUUUCUAGGAUGAUGCAAUGUCCAGCCAUCAACACAUUUGUGAAGGAAUUUUUACUCCCCAAAAGAGCGCCCCCCCAUGGCAGGAGAAAAAAGUCCAUUUUUUCUUGUCCCCUAAGGUGAAAAUACACAUUGUUGAGUGUCACGCCUAUACGCUUUGUCAAAAUGACACAAAAAUUGACACACACAUGUAACUCAAUAAGAUCUACGAAAAAGUCAAUGCGUGCGUAUCUGUCAAAUGUACGGUUAAAGGGUUAUUUCGCAUUUUUUGCCGAUCCGCACACAUUGGAAUUUCGCUAACUCCUCCGAAGGCUUUCGUUCCACCGGCACCACAUUUGCUCAGGCCAAUCUACACCCCGUGGCCAUUAAAAGUUAUCAAAAUCAUGACGCUGCACCCCAAGGUUUAGGUUCUAGGGGGCGCCAAAGAUAACCCUAAAAUCCACAUAUUUAAAAGUCUUAUAACUUUUUAUUUUUGUCCUCACUGGCCUCCAAGUUUUCUAGGAUGAUGCAAUGUCCAGCCAUCAACACAUUUGUGAAGGAAUUUUUACUCCCCAAAAGAGCGCCCCCCCAUGGCAGGAGAAAAAGUCCAUUUUUUCUUGUCCCCUAAGGUGAAAAUUCACAUUGUUGAGUGUCACGCCUAUACGCUUUGUCAAAAUGACACAAAAAUUGACACACACAUGUAACUCAAUAAGAUCUACGAAAAAGUCAAUGCGCGCGUAUCUGUCAAAUGUAUGGUUAAAGGGUUAUUUCGCAUUUUUUGCCGAUCCGCACACAUUGGAAUGUGGCUAACUCCUCCUAAGGCUUUCGUUCCACCGGCACCACAUUUGCUCAGGCCAAUCUACACCCCAUGGCCAUUAAAAGUUAUUCAAAUCAUGACGCUGCACCCCACGGUUUAGGUUCUAGGGGGCGCCAAAGAUAACCCUAAAAUCCACAUAUUUAAAAGUCUUAUAACUUUUUAUUUUUGUCCUCACUGGCCUCCAAGUUUUCUAGGAUGAUGCAAUGUCCAGCCAUCAACACAUUUGUGAAGGAAUUUUUACUCCCCAAAAGAGCGCCCCCCGAUGGCAGGAGAAAAAAGUCCAUUUUUUCUUGUCCCCUAAGGUGAAAAUACAUAUUGUUGAGAUUCACGCCUAUACGCUUUGUCAUAUUGACACAAAAUUUGACAAUCACGUGCCUUGCCUGGUAUCAUUUUUUUCAGCACAACCUCACCUGUGCGAAUUUACAGUUAUUUUAUCAUGUUGACAUACUGAAUUUACACAAUGGACCCAAAUUCACACACAAAACAUAAAAUCCGAGUGGAAAAAAGUAACAUUUUUACUGUGAAAACCACAAAUAUGUGUGAUGAACUGUUUUUAAAACUUAAACUUCAAAUAAAAAUUGUAAACUUCAAAACAUAUGCAAAUUUUUAACAAAGAACAUAGUGAUUUACCUCUAUUUACAUCAAAAUGCAGGCAAUGGCCCAGGCGUUCUUUGUAAAAUUAUUUACAAAACACUGUAUAGUCUCACAAAUGUCACUUUUUAUUUAUGCCACUACAAAAAAACAUGAUGUAAAUGAUGCAUGAUGUAAAACAUGAUGUAAAAAACUUGUGUAGAUCCUCCUCUAUGUCAGUCCAUGUGUAAUUUUUCCAUAAUUCUUUGUUUUUUGCAGCAUUUUUGUUAGUGUAACUGCAGAUUGUGCUGACAGUGUCUAUGGCACAAAAAAAAAAAAAAAUUAAAAUGCCUCAACAUGAACCCCUGGUGGUCUCUGAGGGUGAAACCUGCUAACUGCUGCAGCUCUGUCAGCUUCAGUCUCCCAUGCAGAGCUCUGAGCGCAUGUGUGGCUCUGCACCCUUAGCAGCGUUGCUAACUCCUCAGUAAGGAAAGCCUGCUUCAUGUCAGAGUCUCUAAACUCCAGAAGAAGUCGAUAAAAGUCCCUUUCUUUCUAAAAAAAAGUCGUUAGGGGGUCUGAAAAGUAAUUGAAUCUAACAACAAAGUCGCUAGGUUUGCAACUACGUGUCCCAGACUGCAUCCCUGCUGAGAGUCCCUCCCUCGCUUCUCAUGUUGCAGGAAGAACGUAAGCACCCGCCCCUUGUCAAUCAGUCACCAUAUAAUUUUGGAUUGGUUGUUGUGGUGAAGUUUUCCACCAAUAGGAGAGAUGUUGUGGUGUGUUUUUUUUUUCUUUUGGCAAGCCUUUUCCGCCUGUAAGACCUGUCGCUAAUGUCUGCAUGCUAUGUUUUCCUGUCUCAUACAGCGCGAUCGAGCGCCGAACGUGAUCAAAAUAAGCAGAAAAAAAGUAUCGCGGACAUAAUUUAUCAUAACUCUGGUUUUAUUUGGCCUAUCAACACAAUUUAAAAACUGGUAUAUAGGUUGAGGUCCUCACUUUUGAGAUAAGUUGAAACGGAGAGUCAACGAGGCUCCGUCUUGCAGCUACAUCCGGUUAAAUAUGUCAUGUGACUUGAACGCACACACAGACACACACACACGCACACACACACACACACACACACACACUCAGAGUCUGGUUUUUAGCACCUGCAAAAACAUGCUAUUUACAUAUUUGACAAGAAUGCAGAGGCUCCUUUUGCCCCUGAAAAAAAUCUAAUUUCAAACACAACUUGACUGCUCAUUUCUCCAAAAGACAACCAUGAAGCUCCAUCCAAACCUGAAGCAGGCAGUUGGUGCAUGUGUACAGUAACCUGAGGGGAGUGAGGUGAGUGCUUCUGAGGAGAACAUGAGCAGUGAAGAUUCACCUUGGAGCUAGAACAGAGACAUGCACAUGAUUAUACAGGGGCAGGGGCUCAAGUUUUUUCCAGUCGUUUAUAUCAUAUGGAAAUUAAUGUGAAAUUAAAACACAAAGUAUUAAUAGAAAGGUAAUGACUGUCCUGUGUAGGUGACAGUGAUAUCCAAUAGGCUAGGCACUCACGAGGCUGGCUGUGGCAAGUGUAAGUGAAAGCAACACGCACUGGCAGGAAGAACAGCAAACGCCGAUGAAGGAAAAGGGUCUUUGCAGUGAUGGGCGUUACCAGAGAGGGCGAUGGCCAGAGGACACAAAUGGGACGGGGAGGCAGCACGUUGGGGGGGGGGGACGGGACACGGCUCGGGCCCGCCAGUGCCCCAACGGGGUCCUAGUUCUUCUUUUUCCUCCCCUUUGAACUGGAAAAUGGCCCACUUCCCACUGGCGAAAACUCAUGAAAUUUGGCAGGAUGACCGGGCCUGGUGAAAAAUUUGAUAUUCCGAAGUCGCCCAAACAAGAAAAUGCAAAAUGGCUCCAUAGCGCCCCCUAAGGUGAAAAUUCACACUAUUGACUGUCACGCCUUUACGCUUUGUCAUAUUGACACAAAAAUUGACACACACAUGUAUCUCAAUAAGAUCUACAAAAAGGUCAGUGCGGGCGUAUCUGUCAAAUGUACGGUUAUAGGGUUAUUCCGCAUUUUUUGCCGAUACGCACACAUUGGAAUUUCGCUAACUCCUCCGAAGGCUUUCGUUCCACCGGCACCACAUUUGCUCAGGCCAAUCUACACCCCAUGGCCAUUAAAAGUUAUUAAAAUCAUGACGCUGCACCCCACAGUUUAGGUUCUAGGGGGCGCCAAAGAUAACCCUAAAAUCCACAUAUUUAAAAGUCUUAUAACUUUUUAUUUUUGCCCUCACUGGCCUCCAAGUUUUCUAGGAUGAUGCAAUGUCCAGCCAUCAACACAUUUGUGAAGGAAUUUUUACUCCCCAAAAGAGCGCCCCCCCAUGGCAGGAGAAAAAAGUCAAUUUUUUCUUGUCCCCUAAGGUGAAAAUACACAUUGUUGAGUGUCACGCCUGUACGCUUUGUCAUAUUGACACAAAAUUUGACACACACAUGUAUCUCAAUAAGAUCUACGAAAAAGUCAAUGCGCGCGUAUCUGUCAAAUGUACGGUUAAAGGGUUAUUCCGCAUUUUUUGCUGAUCCGCACACAUUGGAAUUUCGCUAACUCCUCCUAAGGCUGGCG